rnacentral:ncRNA from 2 species
GACUUAUCGAGAGAGGCAGAGGGACUGACCCGAUGAUGCCCGGCAACCCGUUUGUUAGCCAAGCAAACGAAGGUGCUAAUUUCAGCAGAAUGAUUUCAUUCUGGAAGAUAAGCG